ACGGCCUCUAUUCAUAAGCUGACGCCAGGGGAUCGGCCUGCGGCCCAUCAGGUAGUUGGUAGGGUAACGGCCUACCAAGCCAAAGACGGGUAGCUGGUCUGAGAGGAUGAUCAGCCACACUGGAACUGAGACACGGUCCAGACUCCUACGGGAGGCAGCAGUGGGGAAUCUUGCGCAAUGGGCGAAAGCCUGACGCAGCGACGCCGCGUGGGUGAUGAAGGCCUUCGGGUUGUAAAGCCCUGUGGGGGGAGACGAAUAAGUCGUGGCGAACAGCCACGAUGAUGACGGUAUCCCCUUAGCAAGCACCGGCUAACUCUGUGCCAGCAGCCGCGGUAAGACAGAGGGUGCAAACGUUGUUCGGAAUUACUGGGCGUAAAGCGUGUGUAGGCGGCUCUGCAGGUCGGAUGUGAAAUCCCUCGGCUCAACCAAGGAAGUGCAUUCGAAACCGCAAAGCUAGAGUGUCGGAGAGGAAGGCGGAAUUGUCGGUGUAGAGGUGAAAUUCGUAGAUAUCGAC
rnacentral:rRNA from 1 species